rnacentral:rRNA from 1 species
UACAGAGGUCUCAAGCGUUGUUCGGAUUCAUUGGGCGUAAAGGGUGCGUAGGCGGCGCGGUAAGUCGGGUGUGAAAUCUCGGAGCUUAACUCCGAAACUGCAUUCGAUACUGCCGUGUCUUGAGGACUGGAGAGGAGACGUGGUAAUUUGACGGUGAGCGGUGAAAUGCGUAGAUAUCGUAAGGAAGACCAGUGGCGAAAGGCGGGUCUCUGGGACAGUUCCUGACGCUGAGGCACGAAGGUCAGGGGAGCAAACGGG